rnacentral:rRNA from 1 species
AUACGUAGGGGGCGAGCGUUGUCCGGAAUGAUUGGGCGUAAAGGGCGCGUAGGCGGCCCGGUAAGUCUGGAGUGAAAGUCCUGUUUUUAAGAUGGGAAUUGCUUUGGAUACUGUCGGGCUUGAGUGCAGGAGAGGUAAGUGGAAUUCCCGGUGUAGCGGUGAAAUGCGUAGAGAUUGGGAGGAACACCAGUGGCGAAGGCGACUUACUGGACUGUAACUGAUGCUGAGGCGCGAAAGUGUGGGGAGCAAACAGGAUUAGAUACCCUGGUAGUCCACACUGUAAACGAUGAAUGCUAGGUGUAGGGGGUAUCGACCCCUUCGGUGCCGCAGUCAACACAAUAAGCAUUCCGCCUGGGGAG